GGCCUGAUGGUCUAGUAGUAUGAUUCCUUGUUAGGGCGUGCAUCGGCAAUCGCCGAAGUCACGUGUUUCGAGGAGGUCCCGGGUUCAAUUCCCGGUUAGGCCC